CAAGUCUGCCAAAUGGUCGCGCCUGUAUCUACCGAAAGGUUUCAGGUGAGGAAAGUCCGAGCUUCGCAGGGCAGGAUGCCGGAUAACGUCCGGUGGAGGCGACUCUAAGGAAAGUGCAACAGAAAUAAACCGCCGGUAUCGACCGGCAAGGGUGGAAAGGCGGGGUAAGAGCCCACCGUCCUUCUGGUAACAGGAGGGGCUAUGUAAACCCCAUCCGAAGCAAGACCGCACAUGAGACGAUACGGCGGCCCGUCGUGUCUCAGGGUAGGUUGCUGGAGCUUCCUGGCAACAGGAAGUCGAGAUAGAUGACCAUUUUUAACAUAACUCGGCUUACAGGCAGACUUGAAAA
rnacentral:RNase_P_RNA from 1 species